UAUCUCCGAGCAACAAAUGCACUGCGAGAUCCACGAAUUUGUCACAGACGACUAGUCCUUGGUCAUUGCCAGUAUAAUAGAGCCUGCUAUUGCGAGCACCGUUUAAGGUUUGGAAGGCGGUUUUUAAGUCUAUUUUUCUACAACAAGCGUACAAACAGGUGCGAAAGAAAUGCUGAAGCGUUCAACUGCAACGCAUUCCGCUCAAAGCACAUGUGCGAGACUAUAUGCGUAGUCCCUGACGCAGCGCGGUAGUGACGCCUUUAUUAGAUUCCCACUGAA
rnacentral:lncRNA from 1 species